UAACCUUAUUGUACUGUAGUUAAUAUGUGAUCAUAGUGACACUUCGCAUUUCAAUAUUUUAUAAGUCAUCUAAUGGUGCAAAUUCUUGUAAUUAACUCCAGAAAUUAACAUAAAAAAGUGACUUUAUUUCGCAAAUGGAUUGUUCUGUAAAAAAACGUCGCUUGAAUGAAGAUAUUAAUGAAGAUGGUGACGAUGUGCGUACUGACAACAAUGGUCGAAAUUCUAGUUUGAUUGAGGAUACAGAGGAAUCUUGGGAAUUACUUGAUGUCGACUAUGACGAAAGUAAUGACUCACAUGCUGAUGUGUCUAAUUCAGUUAUAGAACCACAAAACAUCGAACAUAGCACACGAAUCAUUCAGGAUGCUCGCUCAGUAUCAAACACUUUGAAUGAAUUUACACGUAGCGAUUUGAUAAUACAUCUUGCAAGAAGCUAUCUGGAAGAUAAGGUCAUCUUAUCUACUGAUAGAAUUCGCAAAAUUUCUCAAGAAAUAUGUUCAGCUUUCCCUGAUGAAGACAUGGCUUCUUACUUCAUUGAACCGAUUGGUAAAAAGGCCCCCGGUGGGAGAUUUUUCAAUCAUUAUCAAAGCCAGUUGAAAAAAUUUCGGCAAAAGAAUCUCAUUCCAAAGUCAUCACGGGCCAUUAAUAAAAUGCUAAAGGCUGUGGAAGGUGAAGAAAUAUAUGUUCUGAGUGGUAUGUAACCAAUUACCUUUUCAUACAGUUAUCUAAUUAGAGCCCUUCUGUAGAAAAAGAAAAAGAAAGUUUCGAAUAUUUACUUCAACGUCAAACGAAUUUGGCUGAGAUUGUUGAACAUUGGAGUGUCACGUUUUCUUAUCGGCAAGACGUUUUUAAAGACAUUGCAAAAGAUAUUAGGGCGAUCUUAGCGGAACAGUGGAAACCGUUGACACUAUCGAUUGGUCAUGCCUUGGUAGAUUUUGAUUACUUUAGAACUUUGGCAAAUGUUUUAGACAGCAAUUGUUUUUUGAUGCUCUUUCGGACUCGGCUCAAAGAAUAAUAUCUUUUUGACAAUACUCGCACAUUAGAAACUUAAAGGAAAUCUAUUUACUUGAGCUGAAAUUAUUGAUUAUAUAAGCUUGUCCGUCUCUUUAGGAUUCUCAGUCUUCAUAAAUUUUUAAAAGACUUCUCUUCAAAAAUAGAUCCAUAAGAACGUCCACAAAAUUUGACUAGUUCGGUUAAUUUCAAUGAAUGCAAAAUGUUGAUUAUAAAUUUGAGCCGAUGCACCACUAAUUCAUAUUUUCUGAGAUUUUAUGUAUUCAAACUUUGAAAAUGAGCAUUUUUAAGCAAAUAGGUGUGAUAACAUGAUAAACAGAAUAUUUGGAUUAUUAUAUUUUGAGCUUGUCAGCUUCAUAUUACUAGAGUUUUUAUGUGUCUUCUCGAAAUUUACGCUCUCGACAUGACAAGCACCUGUUGUGGACGGUUUAUUUUGGGCACUUUUGCUUUUCGCUCUCACUUCAUUCAGGCUACAAUCCGCGAAAUUGCCUUCCUCAAAAGAUACGUAUUUCACCGUAUUGAAUUAGAUAUUGAACAAAAAUCCAAUUUUACGCAGUGCCAAAUCUAUCCACUUCUAUAAAAUCUGCUUCACCAACAACAGAUCUGCGAAGAUUUUAAAAUUAUGCAUGGACUCGAUAAAGCGGCAACUCUUCGUUUGAAAUGGAAAACAAUUUUCGGCACUAAAGUGUUUCUACUGCUGAGAGAAACAGUAAAGAACAAACAAACAUUACGCAAGGUCGAACAACUGCCGCUCACUGAUGAAUAUUUAAAUGUCUCGUCAGUUUUAAUGCUUAAUGCUAUAUUGGUUCCACCACUCCAAAAAGGAGUAAAAAAACCAACAAUUCAAGACGCCCAGGACAGCGUCAUAAUGGUUGCCAAAACCGAAAAUGAAUUGCGAGAUCAACUUUACGAUAGAUUCGUAGGAGAGUAUGCAAUCGACUGCCAUCCAAUCGUUGUAGCUAUGGAGCCAAAUGAACAGGAAAUUUAUUUUUUCGUAAUAUUUCACAAUUUGCGAUAUCGAUUUAGCAGAUUUUGUGAUGCCAUAGAUGUUUGUUUUAAAAUGUUUUGUGUUUUUCAAAUCGAGUUUCCGACAGCAUGUACACAAUAUUAUGCUCUUUUAAAUGAGCUGUUCUAUAAUAUUCCCUUAAAAAUUUGCAAAAGCACUAAAGUCGCUGAACUUUGUAAAGAUAUCAAUGAUACGGUGUAAACCGAAAACAAAAACAAAAAUGAAAAAACGUUUGGCUUGGUAACUAUGAUAGACUUAAAUAUUAAAUGAAAUCGAUCAUUUUCGGUCUCUUUUUAUAGAUAUAAUUUGUAAAUUCUAGUUGUUCAUACGUUGUACCUUUAAUUGCAAUAUAUAUUGAC